CUCUACACAACACAGGCAGGUCCAGUCUCAAUCGUCUGGACAUGGAGAGACGGAUGUUGGAGCCAAAAUGGUGGCGGCCCUACUAUUGAAGUCACCACCUCCUCCCCCCGUCAACUCUUCUCGGCUCUCGCGCGGGAGCGCUCCGAUGCCGGCGCGCGCCUCGCUCAGCCGAGAUGCGCGCACACAGACACAGCAGAAGACUAAGUUCUGCCAAUCCUUCGUUUCCUCCUCGUUUGUGCACGAUUCGAACAGCAGACGCACCGCACAGCCAACGGGGCAACAACCUGUCCCCGUGGCGGCCACCGGCCAUUCGUCUGGCCGUCCUCUCCGGUCCCCGCUGCUCAGCUUUCGCCCCGUCGCUUGAGAGCUCACAGACGUCCACUCACAGACCCGAGCCCGUCUGCACUAACAGAACUGGGACAUCUCUCGGCCCCGUGUUG